rnacentral:rRNA from 1 species
AUUGAGCGCUGGCGGCAGGCCUAACACAUGCAAGUCGAACGGUAACAGGGAUCAGCUUGCUGAUUCGCUGACGAGUGGCGGACGGGUGAGUAAUGUCUGGGAAACUGCCUGAUGGAGGGGGAUAACUACUGGAAACGGUAGCUAAUACCGCAUAACGUCGCAAGACCAAAGAGGGGGACCUUCGGGCCUCUUGCCAUCGGAUGUGCCCAGAUGGGAUUAGCUAGUAGGUGGGGUAACGGCUCACCUAGGCGACGAUCCCUAGCUGGUCUGAGAGGAUGACCAGCCACACUGGAACUGAGACACGGUCCAGACUCCUACGGGAGGCAGCAGUGGGGAAUAUUGCACAAUGGGCGCAAGCCUGAUGCAGCCAUGCCGCGUGUAUGAAGAAGGCCUUCGGGUUGUAAAGUACUUUCAGCGGGGAAGAAGGGAGUAAAGUUAAUACCUUUGCUCAUUGACGUUACCCGCAGAAGAAGCACCGGCUAACUCCGUG